rnacentral:lncRNA from 1 species
GGCCUUGAAUCCAAGUUCAGGCUGGGAGGCAGUCUGGAGGUUUGCGUGCUGAAUUGUUUUCUAUAACAGAAGAGCUGCUGCCCAGUGUACUACUGAUUCCAUGGGAUGCUCAAAAAGGCAACGGAGCCACUAAUAUAGCAACGGCAGGAGUCAGACUUCUCAUAUGAUAGAGGGAUGGGUCAAGAAAGGAAGUCCUAGAGUGGGCUUUUAUCAGCUGCUCUGUUACCCUUUUGUUUCACUCAAUCAUUUAAUUUUAAAAUUCAGAAUGAGGAGAACUCAAUUUACAACUAAGGGCUGGAGACUCAUUUCCAGUGGGUGCUCCUUGGAUGAGGUCCAUGUCCUCCAGCUUUGGGUAUGUGUUAUGUGGCAUGUCUCUGCCUGGCUCACACAACAUGAACCACAGUCCUGUUUGCAUCCAAGCAAGAGCACAGGAUGGUGAGAUGGACCUGGGAGUGCACAGUGUGGUUGCUGGGCUACAUGAUCCAGGCUGUGCAGACUUCAUCACGUAGCUGUGGUGUCCUUAUGUAAACCCACACCUGCACAACCCUGCAAAAACACUGGCUUUUUGGCUAGAGAAAAGUCAGGACCAGCUUGUGCUACCUUUUUGUAAUUGUUGCUCCUGUAUGUAAUGCUCAGCACUCAUCCCUUUCCCUCCUUUUUUAAUCCCCACGUUUCCAGCUACUGCAUUUUGACCUCUUCUCCCUAGAGAUGCCCCCCGAGUGCCUGUCUUUUACUUUUCCAGCAAACUUCAUCUUUUGCAUCUCCUUUAAACUUCUGUGAGUCUUCCAGUUGUUAUCCAUUCAUCCAUUCUUUCUUUGUGACUUUAGGUGAAUUUUCUGGUAAAUCAUGCUCAUAGCUUGGCAUUAGAAGAAUUCCUUGAACACAUACAAUUUAAUACUGGGUAUGUAAAGGUUAGAUACAAAAGAUCCAAAGCAUUCAGCACCUGUUUAAUCUAUAGACCUGGAAUAGAGAGGUGAGAGAGCUAAGCUGCUUGAAUCUGAAUCAGAAGAAAUUCAGCUGUAAGAGGAAUUUCUUUGCUUUUGAGAUAUCAACAUGAUUUGACAGCACCUUCUUUGCUUUCCGCACUAAGGGGAAAAUACUCAUGUUCCAUUUUAAACUAUAUAGGCCAGGUGAUUUUUUUCCCCAGUGUAUUUAUUAUAAAAAAUAGCAACCACUGCAUUAAAAUCAGUUGGCAUGUUUGUUUUGAGUAAGGAGAACAGCAGCAGUAAACAUUUCCACGAUAAGUGAUGACAGACAGCAGGAUUAGCUUUUGAACUCUUUUGCUGUUGCCAUUAGAGUUUCUCAGUCAUCCAUCCACAGCUGCCUUUUCCCAGCAGACCUAUUUAUCUACUCUCAGGUAGUAAGAGUGCUUUGAGUAAUGAUGAUUCCCUUGACUUUGCAUGCGAAACCGAGCCUCAUUAGAUGACACUUGGGGCUCC